rnacentral:rRNA from 1 species
AUUGAACGCUGGCGGCAUGCCUUACACAUGCAAGUCGAACGGCAGCACGGGAGCAAUCCUGGUGGCGAGUGGCGAACGGGUGAGUAAUACAUCGGAACGUGCCCAGUAGUGGGGGAUAGCCCGGCGAAAGCCGGAUUAAUACCGCAUACGACCUGAGGGUGAAAGCGGGGGAUCGCAAGACCUCGCGCUAUUGGAGCGGCCGAGGUCGGAUUAGCUAGUUGUUGGGGUAAAGGCUCACCAAGGCAACGGUCCGUGGCUGGUCUGAGAGGACGACCAGCCACACUGGGACUGAGACACGGCCCAGACUCCUACGGGAGGCAGCAGUGGGGAAUUUUGGACAAUGGGCGCAAGCCUGAUCCAGCCAUGCCGCGUGCGGGAAGAAGGCCUUCGGGUUGUAAACCGCUUUUGUCAGGGAAGAAACGCUCUGGGCUAAUACCCCGGGGUAAUGACGGUACCUGAAGAAUAAGCACCGGCUAACUACGUGCCAGCCGCCGCAGUAACAC